GAGGGGUGCCACUGCUGUGUAUGAGCUCAUUAGGAGAUAACCUAGAAUCAGUGCAGUCUCUGAAGAGUCUUCUUGCACCUUCAUAGAGAUACAUUGAACCAUGGGCGGAACUACCAUUAGGCAAGGGGAGACAGUUGUCUGAGGGCCCCAUUGCCUGGAGGGCCCCCCCCAGAGACACCUCACAUGACUCCCCAUUGCCCCCUGCCCCCUCAGCCACUUGCCCUGUUCGCCCUCUCUCCUGCUUGUCCUCCUGGCCUGCAAUCUAAAGCAGGGGACAACCUGCUAGGAGCUCCUUUUCUCCCCGUCCCUUAGCUGAUCGGCCGGUGGGAGGGGCUUGCAGGGAGGCCUCCAUGUAGGCCUCGCUGAAGCCUGAGCUUGAGUAGGCCAUCAGGCCCCAAGAAGGAAGGAGGCUGGCAGCCACCACAGUACUCUGCAGCAGACACUCUGCCCAGGCCAGACAGCUCAGCCUUUGCCAGGUGCAGUUAAAGGCUUCAAGGACCCCAACGGUCAACUCCUGGGAACCUUCAGCAUCCUGCCAGGGGAGUCGUGGUCAUCAUGAUGGAAAGGCCUUCUCUUCUGUGCUGUGGCCCACUUCAUCAAGUGAAAAAAAGGCACCAGAACAGGACCAUGAAAGAUUUGGGGGACAAGUGGUGUUUCCUUUGAUCUAUCUGGUGUAAUGUCAAGAUGCGUAAAGAUAAAGCAGGAUCCAGCAAGGAAACAGCGGACUUUGAAAGAAGAAGGACCAGGCGGGCCAUAUACUGCUUCCCUACCCUGAGGAAAAUCCCAUUAUCCACUUCCAAAUGAAAUUGGCACCACUGAAUAGGACUAGAUCAGAAAUAAGAAGGGUCCAUAUACUAACUUUGGUAUUUCAGGAGGACCACCCCACUUCUGCCAGCGGCCCUGAGACACUUGCAUAACCCCCUUCAGUAUCCGGCCCCGGGACAGUCCCGUACCCCCCUUCUGCAGCCGGCCCCGGGACAGUCCCGUACCCCCCUUCUGCAGCCGGCCCCGGGACAGUCCCGUACCCCCCUUCUGCAGCCGGCCCCGGGACAGUCCCGUACCCCCCUUCUGCAGCCGGCCCCGGGACAGUCCCGUACCCCCCUUCUGCAGCCGGCCCCGGGACAGUCCCGUACCCCCCUUCUGCAGCCGGCCCCGGGACUGUCCCGUACCCCCCUUCUGCAGCCGGCCCCGGGACUGUCCCGCACCCCCCUUCUGCAGCCGGCCCCGGGACUGUCCCGCACCCCCCUUCUGCAGCCGGCCCCGGGACUGUCCCGCACCCCCCUUCUGCAGCCGGCCCCGGGACUGUCCCGCACCCCCCUUCUGCAGCCGGCCCCGGGACUGUCCCGCACCCCCCUUCUGCAGCCGGCCCCGGGACUGUCCCGCACCCCCCUUCUGCAGCCGGCCCCGGGACUGUCCCGCACCCCCCUUCUGCAGCCGGCCCCGGGACUGUCCCGCACCCCCCUUCUGCAGCCGGCCCCGGGACUGUCCCGCACCCCUCUCUUCUGCAUUCAGCCCCGGGACACUCCCGCACCCCUCUCUUCUGCAUUCAGCCCCGGGACACUCCCGCACCCCUCCCUUCUGCAUUCAGCCCCGGGACACUCCCGCACCCCUCCCUUCUGCAGCCGGCCCCGGGACACUCCCACACCCCCUUCUGCAAAUGGCCACAAUUCAGUCCUGCCCCCCCAUGAUUUCCCUCAGGGUAGGGAUUAAAAUGCUGGCCAAGAAACGAGAACUCCUGCAGAAGUUACUACAGCCAGAAAAGGCAAGGGAAAUGCAGAAUCCCAGGAGGACGGGGCAGCUCUAGAUGGAACAUAUGCAGUCGGUGUCCCAGAAGUGGAAAAUGCUGUUGAGAUUAAGGCUGUCUUACCGAAGGACCCACCUCAUGGCUGAACCAAGGUUAUAGUCAGUAUCAGUUACUGGUUUUGUAUUUUUGUUUUUGAACUGCUUGUUUCCUUUCCCCGUAUUUCCCAAUUUGGGUGCAAAGACAUGGUGAACCCAAUUUGGGGAUGGAUCCUCAGAAGUCUUGGAUGUGGGUGUGUCUGGGGAGUAAAGGGGCUAUGCAGAAGGGAUUGGCUGCAUCCAAGUUCCAAUUCUGUGGAGGGCUGGAGAAGACAAGAGUUGGACCAAGCCAGGAUGGGUGGGGAGCUUGGGAGGAGAGUGGGGCAGUGGAGGUGGGGCAGCCCUACUGGACUCCAUGGGACACUGGUGUGCUGCCCUCCUCUGCUUCCAUUUAUAUAUAAGGUGUGGGGGGGUUAAGCUGAUGAUAAGCCUUUUAUUUCAUAUAUUUAAAAAUGUUUCUACCUUUUAUAUUCAAACUGCUCUUUGUUAAGACACCCCGGGGUGGUGUGCAGCCCAUCGGAUCCCUAGCAGGGAGCAGUGCAUUCUUGUAAUUAAUUUCAGUAGAUCCCAGUUAUUAAUUCCAAAGUGGGGCUUCCCCCCAGUUUCUGGGAAGAUAAAGCACCCCAUCCAGUGACAGCACAAACACCUUUCCACUGCCGGACACUUUCCAGAUUACAGUUACAACCACCGUAAAAUGCUUCAGCCUGGUGGGAUCGAAUUGACAACGUAAUGAAAGGGUGUGGUGCAAGUCCACCAGCAGGGGGAGAAGUAUUUUCCAGUUUGCCCCUCAUGCCCUAAAAUGGAAAAAUACAGCAAUCUUUUUACAACGUUGCAGGACUGUAAGAAAGCCAUAAAAACCGAAAGAAGGCAUUGGAAAUGUGAAUGGCACCUUGCUGACAGUGCAGGGACUGCAAUGUCAAUACGUAGGCAAUACGAAAGCACUCUUUGCAGAUCUGUAGUGACAUUAUGGUAAGGGUUAAUCUGGAAAGCGCCCAGGCUAUCCAGCGCAACUAACUCCUUGCAGUGAGCAAGCUUGAGUGAGUCUGAGUGUUUUCUUAUCGGAAGCACAUAGCUAAAUCUCCAAACAGAAAUACUACCCGCCAGGCAAAAGAAGGGGAGGGGAAGGAAAGAAGGAAUAAAGAAAAUCCCUAGUGCCUCCAACAGCAGCGAGGUUGAUGGGAGUUGUAGCCCAACAACAGCUAAAGUUUGGCCACCCCUGCAAUAAUUAAUAUAGUCUGCUGGUGCAGAACCCAAUGUGUUUAUUUAGAAAACCCAACACAUUUUGGGCAGCAGCUCUUUGGUAGGGGGCUGGAUAAAGACAUCAACAUGAAACCAAGGUAGUUGAAACUGAGGGUCAUUGAGAAAAUGACAAUUAAGUCGUAGCAGGUCUGCCAAUCUGAAGCUCACACUUGUUAUCUUUUUCUUCUUUCUCCAUCCUAGCAGCAAAGAAGCCCUUCCCAGAACAACUCUUGGCAUUGUUAUUGAGGCAAACGCAGAGGGCAAUCUCAGCCAGGUCAAUACACCUCAACACAAAUCAACAAAUCUCCCCUCUGGGUGGAUGGAAUUGUGGGCCCUAGACAAGGCAGGAAGAGGUUGAGGAGAGCAAGCCCACACCAGAUUCCCACUCCCUUUAAGGCUAGGUUCCCCAAAGCCUCAAGUCCAUUCAAGAUGUUGGGAGAAGACCCACCACCACCAAAGGUUUCUUCUGUGUGGAAGGCAGGAUAGUUCUCCAUACAGAGGAUUUUUGCCUUCACCUCUGAGGCAAAAAUCACCCCCUUCUUAUCAGGGAGGCAUUGUUGCACCACAAAGCUUCACCCCAGGCGUCAAAGCCACACCUUAGUUCACAGAACCCCUCUCAAACUAGUUUCUAAAGUUGUGGCCUGAGUUUGCAACCCUUUCCGCUGCCCCAUCUCUUGAUUCUGAGCCUGGGUGCAAGACUACACCUUCUCCUAGCACUGCAUGCAGUGUGGCGGGUGCUGGUUUUGCAUCCGUUCCUGGCAAGGUAUAAGAAACAAGCCUGGAAAACGCAAUGGACCAUGCUGUGACUGCAUCCUCAGUAGGGCUGUUCCUGGAUCGGCAUGUCUGAACCGGAUGAAUCAUUUUGGUGCCCCUCUAACGAGGCGCUGAAAUGAUAUGAGCACAUCCCUUAUCCUCGGUCCAUAGGGCCAUCCAGGGGGAUGAGGGCAUGCUAAUAAAAGCAACCCCCAACCUCUGCUGGUUUUCUGCAGGAACACCUUGGCAUCUGCUCACACACACCCCUGGGCGACAGUGUGGGAUUAGCUGGCCGCCUUUUGGGGCUGAGUAGGAAUUUUUCCCAUCCACCCAGAUUGGCCUGGAGGUGGCUGGUUUUUUGCCUACUCUGCACUGUUGCACUGGAAGGGGUUUUUGAUCUGGCCCAUGUUAGGAGCGGUGCCUUUAAAUAGAGUAGCCCCAUGGUCACCAGCACCGUGAUGGCAGGUCAGAGGAAGGGAUACGGUGCUGCACCCUAGGGGUGGCAGCUGCAUUGUGGCUUGGCUACACUGCAUCUCUUUGUUGAAUCUAGGUUAAUAAAGUUAUCGCCCUAGUUUUAACCCA